rnacentral:lncRNA from 1 species
AGCAGCCCCCGUUCAAUCCUCCGACCUACUCUUCCUUAGAUGAACCGCCCUCACUCUCCUUCCCUAUAGGGUGCCUCAGGGCGGGCCAAGCCCAUCUGGGGAGCAUCGCCAGCCUCCUGUGUACUGGUGCCAGAGAAAGAUCAACCCGUGGCACUUUUCUGUAUCUCACCAGCAGGUGCUGACAGCUGAGCCAUUCCACGCACCUUCGGAGCAAAGAACUGCCGGAAACCAGGGCCAAGUUCAGAGCCUGAAAUUUUUUUCAAAGGCUACAAGGAGAAACCUGGAGGGCCUGAUCACACAUUACAUAAGCCGACAUACCACAGAGUACAAACCAUGCUUUAGUGACAUUGAUCAGGCCACAGAUGACUGAGCUAUGAGAGGCCAUGAGCUUUCCAAGAUCAGUUUCCUAAACCAGCUGCUUCUCAUCAGUCCGGUCCCCACUGGCCAGAGCUAU